rnacentral:lncRNA from 1 species
UAUCUUCGAGAGAAAGAAGAACGUUGUGCUUUGAGAUAACGCGAUCUGAUCUCCCUCUCUUGGAAAGCAAAAGUGAUAUUGUCUUCUUACUUUUUUUUUUUUUUUUUGUUCUUUUUCGUUUUUCCAAACCGGCUGCUUACACGGCUCUGCAAAAGAUACACCGGUCGACAUAAGAACAUCCAACAAUCUUUGGGGGAACAAAACCAUCGUCUCCUGUAGCACUGCACCAUCUUGAUUAGAUAUUUCUGUUCGUCAAAAGGUACAACUAAAAAUUAAGUCUCCGACAGCCUGCCAGCAGCGAGAGGCCGGCGUCGUGAUGGUGUUGUCUUUGGGUCACAAAUGGAAUUGGCCAAGUGCAAUGAACUGGACACGGUAGAAUUUCUUCCUUUCCUGUGUUUAGCAUGUGGCAGAACCAGAGGGCAGCAAAACAUGGUGGAAUUCAUAUGGUCCAGCAAAGAGUUUAUAUUUUGUAAAACCUGGAUAGUUGGGCUCAAUUAUAAUUUAUAUUUAAUGAAUCAGAUUGAUUAAGAAAUAUGGUUCCAUAUUCAUAACUUUUUUUUUUUUAAGCAGAUGAAUUAUACCGUUAUAGAAUGGAUACACUCAAUAAAUUAAAAAAAAAAUCCAACUCAUAAGAUGCCUUCGGAGUGGCUAGCCACGUGCGAAGCUACAUCAUAAAUCUAGUUGCCCCAUAUAAGAAUUUUAUUCUAGUAUAUCUUUAGAAAUACAGUUGGAAUCCUUUAGCAGACGAGACUCAUAAAACUAGUUUACAUUUACUAGGCUCAAACA